rnacentral:rRNA from 1 species
UGNUCUAGCGNUGCCGCGUGAGUGACGAAGGUCUUAGGAUCGUAAAGCUCUUUCGCCAGGGAUGAUAAUGACAGUACCUGGUAAAGAAACCCCGGCUAACUCCGUGCCAGCAGCCGCGGUAAUACGGAGGGGGUUAGCGUUGUUCGGAAUUACUGGGCGUAAAGCGCACGUAGGCGGAUCAAUAAGUUAGAGGUGAAAUCCCAGGGCUCAACCCUGGAACUGCCUUUAAUACUGUUGGUCUAGAGUUCGAGAGAGGUAAGUGGAAUUCCGAGUGUAGAGGUGAAAUUCGUAGAUAUUCGGAGGAACACCAGUGGCGAAGGCGGCUUACUGGCUCGAUACUGACGCUGAGGUGCGAAAGUGUGGGGAGCAAACAGGAUUANAUACCCUGGUAGUCNACUGCUGCCUCCCG